GCUCUCGGUUGUUUGGUAUCCACAGGCUCUGUUUUCCUGUGUCUUCCGUGACACUGUCUUGAGCGUGCUUGCUUAUGAAGGUUUGACACCCGUCCCCACCAUACCUGCCUGCCACUGCCAGGAUGACUGGAGUCUCAGGUGGCUUUGUGCCAAUGGAGGGAAAAAGAAAGAUAACAAGGAACUAGACACUGUGGGUGAACUCCUGGCCUCCUGCUGCGAGGCGCCUGAGGACCCUGGGCUCUCCCUCCUCGGUUUGGGCUUCAGAGGACCCUGGGCUCUCCCUCCUCGGUUUGGGCUUCAGAAGGUGGCUCCACUUCUGGGUGGCAGUGACAGGCAGACCUGCUGAGAGCCCAGAGAGAAAUACUACCCUGCAGGGAGAUAAGGUCAUCAACCUGCCACCACUGGUAUAUUCCCAUAAUAAUGUCCACUGGUCCCAGUCGAGAGGCACCCACUCCUUUUCCUCUUGUCUAACACAGGAGUCUCGAGCUGCCUAAAGAAACCCAUUUUUGGGAAGAGGAUUAAAAACAAACAAACAAACAACAAAACUGUGCUCCAAAUGUAUAUAACCCUGUAGAUUAAUGAAACAUUUGGGCCAAAGUUCUGUAUUCUCAUAGGCAAAGACUCUCAUAGUAUUAAUAUAUUCACUGAUUUUAAAUUAUUUUUAACUUAAAGGUUUUGUUUUAAUCUGCUGUGAUGAAAUCUUGGAUCACUAUAGCUGUAAAUGAGUAGAUUUAUCUAGAUAUGUUAAAUGAACAAAUGUAAAAUGUUCGAUACAGCACAGGUGCUUAAUAAGUUGGCUUCAGAGCCGUGUUUUUCCAACAUGUUCUGAUGAUCCAAGUUUGAUACUUAAGACAAUUAAAAACAAGAAAUUUAACUUAGUUUCAGCACAUGUAUGGUAUAUAUAUUUGUAUGGCUAUGAGCUUAGGCUGGUCGUAGACAUAAGACAAUUGAAGCACUCUUUUCCACAGGUAUCGGCCGCAUUCUGUUUCACUCCCUAUAAGCAUUUGAUUUUGCACUACAGGUAUUACUGAGACCAUGUGGAAUCUCACUUAGUUUUAUUUCCCUUUAGGGUAGUUGCCUAAAUCAUAAAAUUAUGCUUCACUGUAGUGGUAGGAAAUCUAAUUUAUUUAUUUAUAAGAUGGAGUCUCAUUCUGUUGCCCAGGCUAGAGUGCAGUGGCAUGAUCUCAGCUCACUGCAACCUCUGCCUCCUGGGUUCAAGCGAUUCUCCUGCCUCAGCCUCUCAAGUAGCUGGGAUUACAGGCACCUGCCACAAACUCUCAGCAAAUUUUUGUAUUUUUAGUAGAGACAGGGUUUCACUAUGUUGGCCAGGCUGAUCUUCAACUCCUGACCUCAAGUGAUGCACCCACCUUGGCCUCCCAAAGUGCUGGGAUAACAGGCAUGAGCCACCCUGUGCCCACACCUGGCCAAGAAAUAAUCUAAUUUUUUUAAAAAGACAUAAAAUGUGUUCAUGAAAGAGAUUCCACCCAAAUCAACACAUAAAUCACUCUAGUGGCAAAGUAGUUUAUUUAUUAUGUUUCCUUAAAGGAGAUUAAGACUCGACUCCUCUCCCAGCCGGGGCAGCCCGGGAACUCAGCGCCCCCCUCCAGUGGUGCCCAGAGCCUCCCAGCGCCAUGUCCAUCUCUCUUCCUCUUGGCAUCCAUUGUGGCACUCAGCCCACCUCUGCCUCAUUUCAUGAUUGUGUGCUUUUGUAGUUUAGAAACAGCUGCGGCAAGCAUUUAGGUAAAGGCCUCAAGCAGACAACCUACAGGGUGCUCCGUGUCAGUGCAGGUGCCUGGGCAGAGAAGCUGCGGCACAGCUGCAGAGGAGCCGUUAGGAGGGGGUCACGGGCUGCAAGUUCCACAGUGGGGCCCUGUUGUCCCAGCCAGCAGAAGCACCAGUGACUGUCCCACCCUGGAGCCUGGAGCGAACCAGAGGACUUGUUAAAACAGAUUGUUGGACCCACACUGUGUUUCUGGAUUGGGAGUCAGGAGUAGGCCUGAGAAUGUGCAUUUCUAAUGAGUGCCCAGGUAAUGCUGAUGUCACUGGUCCAGGGACCACACUUUGAGAACCAAUGUGAUAAUCAAGAAAUGUCUUUUGAAUCAAAUUUACUAAAAUAUUCAUAAACCUUUCUCCACCCGAAGGAUGCAAACGAAAGGGAGACACAGAGACUGUCAAAGCUAUAGGCAGUCUGCAGGUGAUGAUUUUAUUUUUUUAAAUGUGGUUUGGAAUCUGGAGUCUGAGACCUGGACCCAAAUCUCACCACAGCUUUGUGCUGGCUGAGCACCCUGGGAAGGAAGGUAACUUCACAGCGGAACCCCUAGCCCCACACCUAUUAUCUAAAGACGAUUGCAUGGCCCCCAGAACAGUGGGGACUGAAUUUCGUAUGGCAGGACCUCAUCUGAAUAUACAGUAGGUGCUCAAUACGUGCUAUUACCCUCUUCCCUUUUUGGCAGUAGACAGAUAAGCUUUUUCUAUGACUGAUACCAUUUUUAGAUGUGAAAACACUGACUCCUAGAGAGUAACAUUUCAUCACUAGCCUUCAAUGGUAAUUCAUACAAUUGGAAAUGCAUGGAAAGCCAUAUUUUUCACUUCCUUCUCCUCUCUUGUUAAUCUUAUCUCAUAUUCAUGGGUGGCCCAAAACUUUUCAUAGCUUUGAGCGCUCUGUCCCAAUAUUUUUAAGUACAUGGAACUUGUUAGCAACUUUGAUUUUUUUAUUCAAAGGAAGUGCCAUAACACUUCAAAUCAUGUCAAUUCCAUGACACUCAUCUUCAAAAAAGAUCUUUCAGUUCAAAUCUUAGAAAGCAAGUUUUUAAAUUAUAAAAGAUAUGCUUCUUAUAUUCUCCAAAUCCUGCUCCUGAACAGGGAUAUUGUUUCAAUAGUUUGUUCCUUUUUCACAGCUGAGCAGUGUUUCAUUGUAUGGAUAUCCACCAUGUGUUUAUCCAUUCACCUGCUGAUGGCUGUUUGGGUUGUUUUCCCUUUUUUUUGCUAUUCCAAAUAAAGUUGCUAUGAAUAUUUGUAUACAAGUCUUUGUGUGGAAACAUGCUUUUAUUUUUCUUGGGUAGACACCUAGUAGUGGAAUGGCUGGGUCACAUGGUAGGUCUAAUUUUCACUUUUAAGAAACUACCAAACCAGGCUGGGCGCAGUGGCUCACAUCUGUAAUUCCAGCACUUUGGGAGACAGAGGUGGGAGGAUCACCUGAGGUCACGAGUUCAAGACCAUCCUGAGCAGCAUAGCAAGACCCCAUCAUCUUUACAAAAAAAUAAAAUGUCUAUUGAAUCAAAUUUACUUAAUAUUCACAAACUUUUCUCCACCGGAAGGAUGUGAAGAAGGGGAGACAGAGACUGUUAAAGCUAUAGGCAGUCUGCAGGUGAUUUUUUUUUUUUUAAUGUGGUUUGGAAUCUGGAGUCGGAGACUUGGGCCCAAAUCUCACCACAGCUUUGUGCUGGCUGAGCAUCCUGUAUAUAAUUUAAAUCAAUGUGUAAGUCUCAUUAUAAAAAGUUACAAAAAUUAGGCUGGGCACGGUGGCUCACGCCUGUAAUCCCAGCACUUUAGGAGGCCAAGGCGGGUGGAUCACGAGGUCAGAUCGAGACCAUCCUGGCUAACACGGUGAAACCCCAUCUCUACUAAAAAUUCAAAAAUUAGCUGGCGUGGUGGUGGGCGCCUGUAGUCCCAGCUACUCAGGAGGCUGAGGCAGGAGAAUGGCAUGAAGCCGGGAGGCGGGGCUUGCAGUGAGCCGAGAUCGUGCCACUGCACUCCAGCCUGGGCGACAGAGUGAGACUCUGUCUCAAAAAAAAAAAAAAAGUUGCAAAAAUUAAAAAAUAUUAAAAGUUGUAGUCAGCCAGGCGUGGUGGCUCAUACCUGUAAUCCCAGCACUUUGGGAGGCUGAGGUGGGAGGAUCACUUGAGCCGAGAAUUUCAAGACUAGCCUAGGCAACAUACUGAGACCUCUGUCUCUACAAAAAAUAAAAAAUUUAGCUGGAUAUGAUGGCACAUGCCUGUGGUCUCAGCUAGUCAGGCUCAGGAGGAGCAUUUGAGCCAGGGAGUCAAAGCUGCAGUGAGCCAAGGUCACACCACUGUACUCCAGCCUGGGUGACACAGCAAGACCCUGUCUCAAAAAAAAAAAAAAAAAAAAAAAAAAAAAGAAAAGAAAAAAGAAAACCUUACAAUAAGUGAAACAGGUAGAGAGUAACAAAAUACAUUCAAUUCAAAAUGAACUCUCUAACCACUGCUCACAUCCCCACUACGGUGUACUCAUCAGAGUAGUCAGUGAUACUUUUAUGAUAUACGUUGGAUCACAUCAUUCUUUUGUUUAAAAAUUUCCAGUGGCUUCCUGUGACAUUUGAGAAAAAAGCCAACCGUGGUAAGGUCAUCCUUACCGUGACCUCAGAGCAACCUCUACCAUCCCACCUGCCCAUCUGCUCUCCCUCUCCCCUUUAUCCACAGUGCUCCAGCCACUCUGGACACCCUGCCAGUCCUUGACUGCAUCCAGCAUGCCCCUGCUCAGAACCUCUGCACAUCUUUCCUCUGCCUGGGCUGAUCUCCCCCUGGAUGGCUGCAUGGCUGCUCGUGCUACUGUGUUCCAGGCAAGUUGGUCUCUGCUCUAAUGCCACUGCCCCAGAGGAUCCUCCCUCAGCCGCCCUUUAAAAAAUGGCCUACCUUAUCAUUUAUCUUUUCUUGCUUUUUCUUCAUUGUACUUAAUUCCCUCAAAAAUAAUAUAUAUUUUUACUAUCAGCUUUCACCUAGUUGGAACCUAUGAUCUUUAAAGGUGGGGGUCUUGUUCAGUGCUGUAUCCCCAGUGCUUAGAACAUGCCUGAACACAGGAGUUGCUAUCUGUUGCAUGCAUAAAUGAACUCAGAACAAGAAUGCCUGAUUUUCCAAUGUCCAUACCAGGUUUUACACAUCUUUAUAAUCUUUGCCAAUCCAGUAUGUGGGAAACAGUAUUCAUUUCAAUUUGUAUUUCUUGAGUAUAAGUGAGGUCGAGUAUCCUAUGAUGUUUUUUGGCUUGGCCUUCAGAAAACUAAUUUUUCUUUUCUUUUUUUUUUUUUUGAGACAGAGUCUUGCACUGUCACCCAGGCUGCAGUGCAGUGGCGCAAUCUCGGCUCACUGCAAGCUCCGCCUCCUAGGUUAACGCCAUUCUCCUGCCUCAGCCUCCUGAGUAGCUGGGACUACAGGCGCCCGCCACC
rnacentral:lncRNA from 1 species